AAAAACUAUAGAAAAGAGUUAGGGUCCUCGGCGGCGCCCUGUUAUGGGCGUCUGUUCCCGCCGAGGCAACGUUAGGUAUGUUCACAGGGUUGUGAGUUGUAUAACUCGGUCCGAUUCCGUUGGGUGAACCAGCGGAGGGAUCAUUA
rnacentral:rRNA from 1 species